GUGACCAGAGCGCGUGCGCGAGGGUGUGGGGGGAUGGGAGGGGCAGCAGCCCUCUUCCGGGGGGGAGGGGCGGCGAGGCGAGGCCUGCGGAGCGGAGGAAGACAAACAUAAAGAUGAAGUGCUUAAUUCAAGGUCACACAAUGUCGGGGAUGGACCUCCAGAUUUCCUUACUGACCUGCAUUAUCUUGUGGAUACCUGAGUGAAUUCCACACCACCCAUUUUAUAGAUGAAACCACUGAGACAUGGAGCAAUUGACUGAGUAGUCACUGCCCCACCCCUGCCUGGAGCCUCACACAUGACUCGCCUCCUCUCAGUGACCACAGGAAAACAAGCUCAGGGCUCCCACUGAUUGUACAUUAUGAGACGGAGUCUUGCUAUGUUGCCCAGGCUGGUCUUGAACUCCUCACCUCAAGCGAUCCUCCCGUCUUGGCCUCCCAAGUGUCAGGAUUACGGGCAUGUGCUAUCACACCCAACCUGAUACAUUGCCUUUAUAAAUUUUUUUUUCUUUAUUCUAAAAACCAGAAAAAACAAAACUGGAUACAUGUGCAGAACAUGCAGACCAAGUGUGUUGGGGACUUGAGAUGCGUACAUGAGUGUGAUGUUUCCUGCUGAAAGCACAGGUGAGACGUGGUCUUGUAACACAGUGGUUAAGAAUGUGACUUUGGAGCCAGCCUGCUAGGGGCUGAAUUCUGACUCAGCCAUUUACUAACUGUGUGACCUUAGGCUGGAGUGCAAUGGCAUGAUCUCGGCUCAUCACAACCUCUGCUUCCUGGGUUCAAGCGAUUCUCCUGCCUCAGCCUCCCGAGUACCUGGGACUACAGGCACUCGCCACCAUGCCCGGCUGAUUUUUGUAUUUUUAAUAGAGAUGGUUUCACUAUGUUGGCCAGGCUGGUCUCGAACUCCUGACCUUGUGAUCUGCCCACCUCAGCCUCGAAAAGUGCUGGGAUUACAGGCGUGAGCCACUGCGCCCAGCCUUGUAUUUUUUUUCAGUUUGGGUAGCUGUCCCUAAUUCAUUUGUUAAAGGAGAAGCAAGAGCAAGAACCUUUAAUCUGUUCUCCUCUUCCCUAAUUUGAAAGUAGCUUGUUAUUUUGAAUAUCACUUUCUCUGAAAUAGCACAUCUCCAUCUCAGAGAAUGGAUUUAAUGUUUGGAUACAGCCAAAAGUCAUUUCAUUACCAAACCAUGGGGUGAAUAUACCAUGUAAAGCAGUUUGGGAUCAGAACUCACAGUCUGAAUUGUAAGUGAUGAGACUGCUGUCUCUCUGCUACAGCUUCUUGGCUGGCUCUGAAGGCUCUUUGAAGGCAGAUCCUAACAAGGGGACUGCUUUGAAGGGCCAUUGUUCAUUUGGAAUGAUAAAGUCUAUGUUGUUCAAAAAACAAAUGCUUGUAGCAGGUAUUUUUUCACUCCAGACUGAGAAUAUUGGUGGGAUAUUGAUAAGGGGUACUGAAUGGUAAUAAACAUGUGCUCUAGCUCUGUGCUAGUCAGCUUAUUUCAGAACUCUAGUUUGAUUCAGUUUCUUGCCUCUGACUCAAAAUGGAGGGAGAGUGAUUUUUACAUAAGAGAACACACCCACAUAUCCUUUUGGCAGCAGCUACCUGCCAGAGAUGUUGAAGAAGAGUAGCCAACCUUUACACAGCAGAUAUUGUGUGCCAGUCAUAGUCCUAAGUAUAAUACCUUACAUGUAUAAACUUCUUAUAAGGUUGGUGCUCUGUACCGAAUUGAAUAGUAUCCCCCAAAAUUCAUGUUGUCCCAGAACCUAUGAAAGUGAUCUUACUUGAGGGAGGGGGGAGGGGGGAGGGAUAGCAUUAGGAGAUAUACCUAAUGCUAAAUGACGAGUUAAUGGGUGUAGCACACCAGCAUGGCACAUGUAUACAUAUGUAACUAACCUGCACAUUGUGCACAUGUACCCUAAAACUUAAAGUAUAAUAAUAAUAAAAUAAAAAAAAAAAAGAAAGUGAUCUUACUUGGAAAUAAGGUCUUUGCACAUAUGAUCAAGUUGAGAUGAAGUUGUACUGGAAAGUCUGUCUAGUGACUGGUGUUGUCAUAAGAAGAGAGGGACACAGAGGGAAGAUGGCCACAUGAAGAUGGAGGCAGAGAUUGCAGUUAUGCUGCUGCAAACUAAGGAAUGGCUCUGGCCCUCCAAGGAUUGCUGAUAACCACCAGAAACUAGAAGAGACAAGGAAGGAUUCUUCCCUAGAGCCUUCAGAGGGAGCAUGGCCCUACUGACACCUGGAUUUCAAACUUGUAGCUUCCUAAACUGCAAGAGAAUAAAUUUCUGUUGUUUUAAGCCAUAUAGUUUGUGGUAAUUUGUUAUGGCAGUCCUAGGUAAU
rnacentral:lncRNA from 10 species